rnacentral:rRNA from 1 species
UGAGUAACGCGUGGGUAACCUGCCCUUAAGUCUGGGAUACCAUUUGGAAACAGAUGCUAAUACCGGAUAAAAGCUACUUUCGCAUGAAAGAAGUUUAAAAGGCGGCGUAAGCUGUCGCUAAAGGAUGGACCUGCGAUGCAUUAGCUAGUUGGUAAGGUAACGGCUUACCAAGGCGAUGAUGCAUAGCCGAGUUGAGAGACUGAUCGGCCACAUUGGGACUGAGACACGGCCCAAACUCCUACGGGAGGCAGCAGGU